rnacentral:piRNA from 1 species
ACAAAAACUAUUUCUUGACGACCUUUG